rnacentral:misc_RNA from 1 species
AAGUCGUAACAAGGUUUCCGUAGGUGAACCUGCGGAAGGAUCAUUAACACCUUCUGAUCUAUCACCAAUGUCUGAAAGUGUCAAGUGAUGGUCAGGGUAACGCAGUCAACGAUCGCUGUAGGUACCGGCGACCGGGGUGGAGGCUAACGCCCUUACGUCACCCCUAUGUACCCUCCGGGACUUGGCGAAAACUGUUAACAAUGGAUAUCUUGGUUC